UUGAAUUUCUUUCCUUGUUUCUUCUGCAUUUUGAUCUUUUCUAGAUGCCUUUCUAACAUUUGAUUAAUAGUUCUCAGAAGCCUUUAUAUAAUUGGUAGCAAAGAAAGAUUUCAUUUUUGUUGCACCCUUUACCAGCAUUAUUAUCAAUCGUUCCUUUAGAACCAUUUCUGAUCUUGUGAGUUUAUCGUUGGUCCUCCUUUGUAACCAUGUAAACGCUAUUCCCAAUAGAAGUUCCCGUUAUUGGAAUAAAUUUUAUGUUUUUUUCCUUUUUGCUUGCUCUUAAACUGGCACUUGGUUGCGAGGGGGAGGUGUCUUAGCAGUGGCAGAAGCUAUACCAAAUGAUUUAAGCUGCUCUUGCCUCAAUCUGGUAUCAACAUGGUCUUGAGUUUGUCUGAUUAGCUUUAAUCAUUUUCCUACAUUGGGCUGCAAGUUACAAUUUCAACUUUUUAUUUAGUUACUUGUACCUUGGAAAGGAAGAAAUAAAUUACAACCUAACAG
rnacentral:misc_RNA from 1 species